rnacentral:tRNA from 1 species
ACAUCAAUAGCUUGGUCGCUUGGCGCUUCGUUUACACCGAAGAUGUCGGGAGUUCGAGCCUCUCACGACCCACCA